CGUAGGGAGCAAGCGUUGUCCGGAAUCAUUGGGCGUAAAGCGCGCGUAGGCGGCCCGGUAAGUCCGCUCUGAAAGUCAAAGGCUCAACCUUUGAAAGCGGGUGGAUACUGCCGGGCUAGAGUCCGGAAGAGGCGAGUGGAAUUCCUGGUGUAGCGGUGGAAUGCGCAGAUAUCAGGAGGAACACCAACGGCGAAGGCAGCUCGCUGGGACGGUACUGACGCUGAGGCGCGAAAGCGUGGGGAGCAAACAGGAUUAGAUACCCUGGUAGUCCACGCCGUAAACGAUGGGCAUUAGGUGUGGGAGGUGUCGACUCCUCCCGUGCCGGCGCUAACGCAUUAAAUGCCCCGCCUGGGGAGUACGGCCGCAAGGCUA
rnacentral:rRNA from 1 species